ensembl:snoRNA
AUCAUUUUGUAGUUUGUAAGCGUGAUGAUUGGGUAUUCAUGCUGUUCUGUGACAUGCCAUCCUUAAACCUUGUUACAAUAAUGGCACAUUAACAAUGUCUGACA